UUGUAAUUUGGAGAAGGUGCUUCGGGGGCGACGACGGCUCAAGUCCCUUGGAACAGGGCGUCAUAGAGGGUGAGAAUCCCGUAUGUGGCCGACCGUCAAUCCCGUGUGAAGCCCUUUCGACGAGUCGAGUUGUUUGGGAAUGCAGCUCUAAAUGGGUGGUAAAUUUCAUCUAAAGCUAAAUAUCUGCCGGAGACCGAUAGCGCACAAGUAGAGCGAUCGAAAGAUGAAAAGCACUUUGAAAAGAGAGUUAAACAGUACGUGAAAUUGUUGAAAGGGAAGCGCUUGCAACCAGACUCGUCCGCGGGGGCUCAGCCGUUCUCCGGGACGGUGUACUCCCCCGUGGCCGGGCCAGCAUCGGUUUCGGCGGCCGGACAAAGGCCCUGGGAAUGUAGCUCCCUCCGGGGAGUGUUAUAGCCCGGGGUGCCAUGCGACCUGUCGGGACCGAGGACCGCGCUUCGGCUAGGAUGCUGGCGUAAUGGUUGCCAGCGACCCGUCUUGAAACACGGACCAGUAAGUCGAUCCCCCCGUUGUGUCUUGCGCCGUAGGCGGUUGCUAACUAUUAUUGCAGAGGAGUUGACCAACCGCGCGAGUGUUUGGGCGUCAAACCCAUGCGCGCAAUGAAAGUGAAUGUAGGUGGGAGCCCCCGGGCGCACCAUCGACCGAUCUUGAUGUUUUCGGAUGGAUUUGAGUACGAGCACGGCUGGUCUGACCCGAAAGAUGGUGAACUAUGCGUGAAUAGGGUGAAGCCAGAGGAAACUCUGGUGGAGGCUCGCAGCGGUUCUGACGUGCAAAUCGAUCGUCAAAUUUGCGCAUAGGGGCGAAAGACUAAUCGAACCAUCUAGUAGCUGGUUCCCGUCGAAGUUUCCCUCAGGAUAGCAGCAACGAAGACAGUCUCAUGAGGUAGAGCGAACGAUUAGAGGCCUGGGGGUUGAAACAACCUUCACCUAUUCUCGAACUUCGAAUAUGUGAGAAGUCCUUGUUACUUAAUUGAA
rnacentral:rRNA from 1 species